rfam:Geobacillus sp. Y4.1MC1, complete genome.
CCAAAGGCUUUUACAAGAAGCCAUCAAUAUAAAAUCAGAAAAUGAUU